AUUGAACGCUGGCGGCAGGCCUAACACAUGCAAGUCGGACGGUAGCACAGAGGAGCUUGCUCCUCGGGUGACGAGUGGCGGACGGGUGAGUAAUGUCUGGGGAUCUGCCCGAUAGAGGGGGAUAACCACUGGAAACGGUGGCUAAUACCGCAUAACGUCGCAAGACCAAAGAGGGGGACCUUCGGGCCUCUCACUAUCGGAUGAACCCAGAUGGGAUUAGCUAGUAGGCGGGGUAACGGCCCACCUAGGCGACGAUCCCUAGCUGGUCUGAGAGGAUGACCAGCCACACUGGAACUGAGACACGGUCCAGACGCCUACGGGAGGCAGCAGUGGGGAAUAUUGCACAAUGGGCGCAAGCCUGAUGCAGCCAUGCCGCGUGUAUGAAGAAGGCCUUCGGGUUGUAGAGUACUUUCAGCGGGGAGGAAGGCGAUGUGGUUAAUAACCGCGUCGAUUGACGUUACCCGCAGAAGAAGCACUGGCUAACUCCGUGCCAGCCGCCGCCGUAA
rnacentral:rRNA from 1 species